CCGAGGUGGAAAUUGCGUCGUAGCUAAUCGCUCUAUACAAUUUUUUCCACGCUCUCCAUUUUAUUCUGGUGGAGAUAGUUAAAUCGAUCGGAUCGUUUUUCGAAAUUUUCUUGAAAGUGACGCCAACUUAUUAUUUCUAGUUUUUUAUCUUAAUUCGAAUUUCUUAAUUUGGAGAGUUCGGAUAGUUUGACCAAUUGCUGAAAUAUUAGUUAAAUAAUUGUGACUAUUCAGGCGUCGUCAAGCCCAUCCAACGUGGGCGGCCUGUUUUGGAUUGGGUCACGUGGUUUCCACGCGCACGGUAGUCGAAGGUUGUGCCGGCUACGCUUCACUACGCCUAGACGAAGGUUGUUCCGGCUAGGAAAGUAGUGGGCCUGCGGUGGAAAAUUGGGAACCCAAGUUCAGCAAACGUUUGCAAGGUGUGCGUCCGUGAUUCGUCGGUCCGUGAUCCACUUUUGGUGAUCGACGAACGAAAGGCUCGUUCCGUCAAAGCGUGAGGCGUAAGAGCAACACCA